GGCCUGCUCACUGAUAAGAUUAUUAAAGAGCUGCGGUAUAUUGACUGUACAAAGGUAGCAUAAUCAUUAGUUUUUUAAUUGUAAACUUGUAUGAAUGGUUUGACAAAAUAAAUAUUGUCUCUGUUAUUUAAAUAGAAUUUAACUUUUAAGUGAAAAGGCUUAAAUUUGUCAAAGUGACGAUAAGACCCUAAAAGCUUUAUAUUUUUAUUUUAUUUUAUAAAAUUGAUUUAAUUAUAGAUUUUAGAUAUUUUAAUUAAUUGGGGCGAUGUAUGAAUAAUUUCUAUAACUUUAUAUGUUUAAUACAUUUAUAUAUGUAAAAUUAUUAAUAGAUCCUUAUAUAUUAGGAUUUUAAGGUAAGUUACUUUAGGGAUAACAGCGUAAUUUUUUUUGAGAGUUCAUAUCGAAAAAAGAGAUUGCGACCUCGAUGUUGAAUUAAAAUUUCUAUUUAAUGUAGCAGUUAAAUAAGAAGGUCUGUUCGACCUUUAAUUUUUUACGUGAUCUGA
rnacentral:rRNA from 1 species